UGGAACAGAACGUGCGCGAUGGAAUCAAUGCGUCACAAAGACAAAAAAACAACUUUCCAGAGCUGUAAUAGGAUUAUAUACUCUCACAACUAGCAACUGACAACUUUCAGAGAAUCUCACCAAGACACUGCUCUUAAAGUCCAGAGGGAAAACCUUCUUGAGAAUGUCCCUGUACCGGACAGAGACGUCGGCUGAUUUACUAAAGACCCUGAAGAUGCUCUCUUCACAAAUGGCCUCUGACAAACAAGAAGGGGUGGCAAGAAAAUCCCCUUUCUUUAAGAGUCACCCCGUUCUUGUUUGUCACAAGCCUGCACCACCUCCCCGCGAUGGCAACACUGCUGACGUCAAGACGGCACCAGGAACAUGGCAGCCCACAUCGAUUCUAAAAACCUCAGGUCCUUCACAUGAUUUUUUAACAUCCAGUAAGCCCUCCAAACAGGUGAUGUUGUUGUUAGUACCAAAAGUGAUAGGAAAGGGUGUUCUUCCACCUAUCACUGAGAAGAAAACCAGGGAUCUCCUAGUACAUGGUAAGGAUUUGGCCCCUAAAUCCAGGAAAGGGUCACCAAUGAACACUUUUCUGGUGCCAGAAAAGAGAAGCAGCAAGUGUACAGCAUGCAGAGUACUGGGGCCAGCAAAGGCAACUGCAAAACGUGACGUAGGCAGUGUACCGAGGACAGUAAGUAAGCCGGUUCUCCCACCUAUUUCAGUAAGUGUGUACCGGCCUACCCCUAAGGUAAGUUCAAGGAGGCCUACAUCUGGUACAGAUGCCCAGGAGCAGGUGAGGAAGAAGAAGCUGGAGAUGAACUGGAUUCCGCCCAGCUUAAUACCUGAUAGGAGGGGUGACAGGCUUCGGUGGAUGGACGUGAGGCCACUUUUUUCGGGGAGAGUUAAAGGCAUGAUCCCAAAGUGAUUUUGAGGUUCUUGAAAACUGUCAAACUGCAAUAAAGAGAAAGUGAUUAUCUAU